rnacentral:rRNA from 1 species
GAUGAACGCUGGCGGCGUGCCUAACACAUGCAAGUCGAACGGAGUCCAGCCUUAGAGACCUUGGGGUCAAAGAGGGGAAGACUGAGUGGCGGACGGGUGAGUAACACGUGGGCAACCUGGCUCAUCGAGGGGGAUAACAGAGAGAAAUUUCUGCUAAUACCGCAUAAGCACACACUGGCGCAUGGCAGAGGGUGAAGAGAGAAUCGCGAUGAAAUGGCCCCGCGUCUGAUUAGCCAGGUGGCAGUGUCAGAGCCUACCAAAGCGACGAACAGUAGCCGAGGGGGUAGGCUGAACGGCCACAUUUGGACUGAGACACGGACCAAUCUGCUACGGGAGGCAGCAGUGGGGGAUAUUGCACAAUGGGGGGAAACCUGGUGAAGCGGCGCCGCGGGAGUGAAGAAGUAUUUCGGUAUCCAAAGCCGUAUCAGCAGGGAAGAUAAUGACAGUACCUGAAUAAGAAGCCCCGGCUAACUACGUG